rnacentral:rRNA from 1 species
AUUGAACGCUGGCGGCAUGCUUUACACAUGCAAGUCGAACGGUAACAGGUCUUCGGAUGCUGACGAGUGGCGAACGGGUGAGUAAUGCAUCGGAACGUGCCCAGUCGUGGGGGAUAACGCAGCGAAAGCUGUGCUAAUACCGCAUACGAUCUAUGGAUGAAAGCGGGGGAUCGCAAGACCUCGCGCGAUUGGAGCGGCCGAUGUCAGAUUAGCUAGUUGGUGGGGUAAAGGCCCACCAAGGCGACGAUCUGUAGCUGGUCUGAGAGGACGACCAGCCACACUGGGACUGAGACACGGCCCAGACUCCUACGGGAGGCAGCAGUGGGGAAUUUUGGACAAUGGGCGCAAGCCUGAUCCAGCAAUGCCGCGUGCAGGAAGAAGGCCUU